rnacentral:rRNA from 1 species
AGUGAACGCUGGCGGUAGGCCUAACACAUGCAAGUCGAACGGCAGCACAGUAAGAGCUUGCUCUUACGGGUGGCGAGUGGCGGACGGGUGAGGAAUACAUCGGAGUCUACUUUUUCGUGGGGGAUAACGUAGGGAAACUUACGCUAAUACCGCAUACGACCUACGGGUGAAAGCAGGGGAUCUUCGGACCUUGCGCGAUUGAAUGAGCCGAUGUCGGAUUAGCUAGUUGGCGGGGUAAAGGCCCACCAAGGAGACGAUCCGUAGCUGGUCUGAGAGGAUGAUCAGCCACACUGGAACUGAGACACGGUCCAGACUCCUACGGGAGGGAGCAGUGGGGAAUAUUGGACAAUGGGCGCAAGCCUGAUCCAGCCAUACCGCGUGGGUGAAGAAGGCCUUCGGGUUGUAAAGCCCUUUUGUUGGGAAAGAAAAGCAGCAGGUUAAUACCCCGCUGUUCUGACGGUACCCAAAGAAUAAGCACCGGCUAACUUCGUG